CGCGUGAGUGAUGAAGGUUUUCGGAUCGUAAAGCUCUGUUGUUAGGGAAGAACAAGUACCGUUCGAAUAGGGCGGUACCUUGACGGUACCUAACCAGAAAGCCACGGCUAACUACGUGCCAGCAGCCGCGGUAAUACGUAGGUGGCAAGCGUUGUCCGGAAUUAUUGGGCGUAAAGGGCUCGCAGGCGGUUUCUUAAGUCUGAUGUGAAAGCCCCCGGCUCAACCGGGGAGGGUCAUUGGAAACUGGGGAACUUGAGUGCAGAAGAGGAGAGUGGAAUUCCACGUGUAGCGGUGAAAUGCGUAGAGAUGUGGAGGAACACCAGUGGCGAAGGCGACUCUCUGGUCUGUAACUGACGCUGAGGAGCGAAAGCGUGGGGAGCGAACAGGAUUAGAUACCCUGGUAGUCCACGCCGUAAACGAUGAGUGCUAAGUGUUAGGGGGUUUCCGCCCCUUAGUGCUGCAGCUAACGCAUUAAGCACUCCGCCUGGGGAGUACGGUCGCAAGACUGAAACUCAAAGGAAUUGACGGGGGCCCGCACAAGCGGUGGAGCAUGUGGUUUAAUUCGAAGCAACGCGAAGAACCUUACCAGGUCUUGACAUCCUCUGACAAUCCUAGAGAUAGGACGUCCCCUUCGGGGGCAGAGUGACAGGUGGUGCAUGGUUGUCGUCAGCUCGUGUCGUGAGAUGUUGGGUUAAGUCCCGCAACGAGCGCAACCC
rnacentral:rRNA from 1 species